rnacentral:lncRNA from 1 species
UGGGACCACACGUGCACACCACCAUGCCCAGACUUAUAAAUUACAUAUCCACCAUGACCCACAUUUCUAAGCCUGUAUGAACAAGUUUCAUCAUUCAUGUGAGCAGAAGGCUUAGCUCACAUUGGGAGCUAAUGCUGACCAGAGUUCCCCACUCCACCGCACCCUCCGCAAGGCAGAACUGAACAUGUUUACCAUUUCGUGUGCGGCUCACAUAUUCCUGUUCGACAGCGUGGACUGGAAGCUGGCCUAGGGUCUUUUAGCACCAAUUCCUUGCCCAG